UAGUAGUAAAUAAAUCAUUUCUAACAUUUGGUCUUUCUUUACUUUCUCUAAUGAAAUAUAAAUAUAUUUAUACAUUUUUUUAGUGUAGCUCACUUUUAUUUUUCUUGGCUUCUUAGUUUAAGAGAAUUCUUAGCUUCAUUAAAGGUAAAGAUUUUUAUGAUGAAGCUCGGUCGCGCUUAGAAAAAGCAGCAGAUACGACGAAUAUUGAAACUGACACUGAAGAAGAAUAAGGGACUAAGCAAAAGAGAAAUGCGGCAAUGGCAUUCUGUGAAAGUGAUGAAGAUAUUGUUGUUAGAGGUGAAGAAUUAUACGGAAGACAAUUUUUGAAGAGUUCAAAUAGCCAUAUCUAACAUUAUUCCAAAUAUAGCAGGUUAACUAUUUUUGUUAAAGUAAAAUAAUGGUUGGUUAAAAUAAUUAUGUUUAUUUUUUUUUACUGAAUUAUAGACAUUAUUUUUGUUUUACUGAAUUAUAGACAUCAUUGACUUUGC